UACGUAGGGAGCAAGCGUUAUCCGGAAUUAUUGGGUGUAAAGGGUGCGUAGACGGGAAUUUAAGUUGGUUGUGAAAUCCCCAGGCUCAACUUGGGAACUGCAACCAAAACUGGAUUUCUUGAGUGCAGGAGAGGAAAGCGGAAUUCCUAGUGUAGCGGUGAAAUGCGUAGAUAUUAGGAGGAACACCGGUGGCGAAGGCGGCUUUCUGGACUGUAACUGACGUUGAGGCACGAAAGUGUGGGGAGCAAAC
rnacentral:rRNA from 1 species